CACUGCCGAGAAAAGCCUCUAGAUAGAAAAUAGGUGCCCGUACCGCAAACCGACACAGGUAGUCAAGAUGAGAAUUCUAAGGUGAGCGAGCGAACUCUCGUUAAGGAACUCGGCAAAAUGACCCCGUAACUUCGGGAGAAGGGGUGCUCUUUAGGGUUAACGCCCAGAAGAGCCGCAGUGAAUAGGCCCAAGCGACUGUUUAUCAAAAACACAGGUCUCUGCUAAACCGUAAGGUGAUGUAUAGGGGCUGACGCCUGCCCGGUGCUGGAAGGUUAAGAGGAGUGGUUAGCUUCUGCGAAGCUACGAAUCGAAGCCCCAGUAAACGGCGGCCGUAACUAUAACGGUCCUAAGGUAGCGAAAUUCCUUGUCGGGUAAGUUCCGACCCGCACGAAAGGCGUAACGAUUUGGGCACUGUCUCAACGAGAGACUCGGUGAAAUCAUAGUACCUGUGAAGAUGCAGGUUACCCGCGACAGGACGGAAAGACCCCGUGGAGCUUUACUGUAGCCUGAUAUUGAAAUUCGGCACAGCUUGUACAGGAUAGGUAGGAGCCUUUGAAACGUGAGCGCUAGCUUACGUGGAGGCGCUGGUGGGAUACUACCCUAGCUGUGUUGGCUUUCUAACCCGCACCACUUAUCGUGGUGGGAGACAGUGUCAGGCGGGCAGUUUGACUGGGGCGGUCGCCUCCUAAAAGGUAACGGAGGCGCUCAAAGGUUCCCUCAGAAUGGUUGGAAAUCAUUCAUAGAGUGUAAAGGCAUAAGGGAGCUUGACUGCGAGACCUACAAGUCGAGCAGGGUCGAAAGACGGACUUAGUGAUCCGGUGGUUCCGCAUGGAAGGGCCAUCGCUCAACGGAUAAAAGCUACCCCGGGGAUAACAGGCUUAUCUCCCCCAAGAGUUCACAUCGACGGGGAGGUUUGGCACCUCGAUGUCGGCUCAUCGCAUCCUGGGGCUGUAGUCGGUCCCAAGG
rnacentral:rRNA from 1 species